rnacentral:rRNA from 1 species
UACAGAGGGGGCAAGCAGUUGUUCGGAAUUACUGGGCGUAAAGGGCGCGUAGGCGGCCUUCUAAGUCGAACGUGAAAUCCCCGGGCUCAACCCGGGAACUGCGUCCGAUACUGGAAGGCUUGAAUCCGGGAGAGGGAUGCGGAAUUCCAGGUGUAGCGGUGGAAUGCGCAGAGUAUCAGGAAGAACACCGGUGGCGAAGGCGGCUCUCUGGGCCUUACCUGACGCUGAGGAGCGAAAGCCAGGGGAGCAAACGGG